ensembl:lncRNA
UUUAGAGAAAAUAGGCCUCAGAAUGCCAAGAAAAUUCAUUUCUCAGGUUAUUUAUGUACGUGCUCAUGGAAAUGACAUGUCUGUGACCUACAGACUCAAAAUACCAAGUCAGAGCUAAGACUUCCAAAACUAUGCUGGGGAAAAAAAAAAAAGUGGCGAGAGUGGACAUCCUUGUCUUGUUCCGGAUUUAGAGUGACUGCUUUCAGCUUUUUAGCUUUUUCAGAAAGGCUGAGUCGAUCUGCAGAACCACGAUUUGGGAGAGAGCAACAAGCCUGGGUGAAGGGAAAAUCGUGCUGCUGAGACUGAGGCAGUUUCAUGGUUUGAGGAGUCCGCGGGGCUGGAAUUGUGGAUGAAAGAAAGGAGACCUUGAGGAGUGUAUUGAUGAGUUGUGAGACUAUCAGGAAGAUUCGAGAGGAGUUACCAGCCUCUCAGGUUGAGAGGUGAAAGGGGCCUUGGGUUCAGAGCUCAGCCUCCCAUUCACAAGGGAACUCCUCUAGGACAUUCCUGCAGAAUGGCCAGCUGGCCUUUACUUGGAAACCUUCAGGAGUAGGAGACAUACUCUUGUGUUGGCAAGUGUACCAGGCUAGUUGAGAACACAAGUGCUUGAGCCAGACUGCCUGGGUUCAAAUCCAGGGGCCACCAGUUCCUGGUGUGGCCUCUUAGGUAUGUUACCUAGCAACUCUGUACCUCAGUGUCUAUACUGAUGACUUAGGGAUGGUGAUAGUAGAGGGUUAUUUUGAG